CCUACGGGGGGCUGCAGUGGGGAAUAUUGCACAAUGGGCGCAAGCCUGAUGCAGCCAUGCCGCGUGUGUGAAGAAGGCCUUCGGGUUGUAAAGCACUUUCAGCGGGGAGGAAGGCGGUGAGGUUAAUAACCUCAUCGAUUGACGUUACCCGCAGAAGAAGCACCGGCUAACUCCGUGCCAGCAGCCGCGGUAAUACGGAGGGUGCAAGCGUUAAUCGGAAUUACUGGGCGUAAAGCGCACGCAGGCGGUCUGUCAAGUCGGAUGUGAGAUCCCCGGGCUCAACCUGGGAACUGCAUUCGAAACUGGCAGGCUAGAGUCUUGUAGAGGGGGGUAGAAUUCCAGGUGUAGCGGUGAAAUGCGUAGAGAUCUGGAGGAAUACCGGUGGCGAAGGCGGCCCCCUGGACAAAGACUGACGCUCAGGUGCGAAAGCGUGGGGAGCAAACAGGAUUAGAUACCCGGGUAGUC
rnacentral:rRNA from 1 species